UAGGGAUUGUAUUUCACUCAAAACCCACCAAAUGACUCCUCCCACAAUAUUAUGAUGUUCCCCAAGUUUUGAACUUAAUCCGAUAUCGAUUGGUCCUUGAAAUCGGACAAUUCAGGUUCGUACGAAGUUCGUUCUGAAAUGGAGUGGUUGGUGUAUUGUAUAGUUCUAGGGAUUGUAUUUCAAUCAAAACCCAUCAAAUGACAACUCCAACAAUAAUAUGAUGUUCCCCAAGUUUUGGACUCAAUCCGAUAUCGAUUGGUCCUUGAAAUCGGACAGUUCAGGUUCUUACGAAGUUCGUUCCGAAAUGGUGUGGUUGGUGUGUUGUAUAGUUCUAGGGAUUGGAUUUCUCUCAAAACCCAUCAAAUGACAACUACCACAAUAUUAUGAUGUUCCCCAUGUUUUGGACUCAAUCCGAUAUCGAUUGGUCCUUGAAAUCGGACAAUUCAGGUUCGUACGAAGUUCGUUCUGAAAUGGAGUGGCUGGUGUAUUGUAUAGUUCUAAGGAUUGUAUUUCACACAAAACCCACCAAAUGACACCUCCCACAAUAUUAUGAUGUUCCCCAAGUUUUGGACUUAAUCCGGUAUCGAUUGGUCCUUGAAAUCGGACAAUUUAGCUUCGUACGAAGUUCGUUCUGAAAUGGGGUGAUUGGUGUAUUGUAUUGUCUUAGAGAAUGGAUUUCACUAAAAACCCACCAAAUGACUCCUCCCACAAUAUUAUGAUGUUCCCCAAGUUUUGGACUCAAUCCGAUAUCGAUUGGUCCUUGAAAUCGGACAAUUCAGGUUCGUACGAAGUUCGUUCUGAAAUGGAGUGGCUGGUGUAUUGUAUAGUUCUAGGGAUUUCGUUUCAUUCAAAACCCACCAAAUGACUCCUCCCACAAUAUUAUGAUGUUCCCCAAGUUUUGAACUUAAUCCGAUAUCGAUUGGUCCUUGAAAUCGGACAAUUCAGGUUCGUACGAAGUUCGUUCUGAAAUGGAGUGGUUGGUGUAUUGUAUAGUUCUAGGGAUUGUAUUUCAAUCAAAACCCAUCAAAUGACAACUCCAACAAUAUUAUGAUGUUCCCCAAGUUUUGGACUCAAUCCGAUAUCGAUUGGUCCUUGAAAUCGGACAGUUCAGGUUCUUACGAAGUUCGUUCCGAAAUGGUGUGGUUGGUGUGUUGUAUAGUUCUAGGGAUUGGAUUUCUCUCAAAACCCAUCAAAUGACAACUACCACAAUAUUAUGAUGUUCCCCAUGUUUUGGACUCAAUCCGAUAUCGAUUGGUCCUUGAAAUCGGACAAUUCAGGUUCGUACGAAGUUCGUUCUGAAAUGGAGUGGCUGG
rnacentral:lncRNA from 1 species